rnacentral:tRNA from 1 species
GGCUAAAGUUUAAUUAAACAUUUAAUUUGCAUUUAGAAAAAACUUAUUGUUAGCCU